rnacentral:rRNA from 1 species
UACGUAGGUGGCGAGCGUUGUCCGGAUUUACUGGGCGUAAAGGGAGCGUAGGCGGACUUUUAAGUGAGAUGUGAAAUACCCGGGCUCAACUUGGGUGCUGCAUUUCAAACUGGAAGUCUAGAGUGCAGGAGAGGAGAAUGGAAUUCUUAGUGUAGCGGUGAAAUGCGUAGAGAUUAGGAAGAACACCAGUGGCGAAGGCGAUUCUCUGGUCUGUAACUGACGCUGAGGCUCGAAAGCGUGGGGAGCAAACAGGAUUAGAUACCCCGGUA